GACAUCCCAAAACACAGCAGCAGUCUGGUUGCCAUAGCAAUCCAUAUUAGCUCAACCAGCACUUCCACGACCUCAGGAUUGGAAUGCUGUUCAUUGGCAGGGGAAUGGAACUGAGAAAUCAGGAGCCAUACAGGGUAUUGAUAAAAUCCUCAAUGUAAAGCUACCCUCAGCAACAGGAGCCGUGACAACGAGCAGUAAUUGUCGCGAAACCCCAUCUGGUUCGCCCUAUAGUGAAGG